GACGAACGCUGGCGGCGUGCUUAACACAUGCAAGUCGAACGAAGUGGCGAAAGGGUGAGUAACGCGUAAUCAACCUGCCCUACAGAGGGGGAUAACAGUUGGAAACGAGUGCUAAUAACGAAUACUGAAGGAGGGGAUUGCGGCUGAUUAGCUAGUUGGAGGGGUAACGGCCCACCAAGGCGAUGAUCAGUAGCCGGUCUGAGAGGCUGAACGGCCACAUUGGUACUGAGACCCGGUCCAGACUCCUACGGUAGGCAGCAGUGGGGAAUAUUGGACAAUGGGCGAAAGCCUGAUCCAGCCAUGCCGCGUGUGUGAAGAAGGUCUUCGGAUUGUAAAGCACUUUAAGUUGGGAGGCGUUACCAACAGAAUAAGCACCGGCUAACUUCGUGCCAGCAGCCGCGGUAAUAC
rnacentral:rRNA from 1 species